CAUGCAGGUCCUUUCACCACAACACAUUAGAGACCAAUGCAGCAUUGAUGUUUGAGGGAGCUAUGCAGGACUUUAUGUGAAAACCGGGUAGGUGACGUGGUCACAAUGUCCAACGUGCUCUGUAGAGCAGCGUUUUGCGCACUGGUGGGAGUGGGAUUGUGCGCUGCUCUAUUUCGUGAGGAUAUUACUAGCUUCGAGGUGAUCAGUCCAGAAGAGG
rnacentral:lncRNA from 1 species